rnacentral:rRNA from 1 species
GAUGAACGCUGGCGGCGUGCUUAACACAUGCAAGUCGAGCGGAACUACUCCAAUGAGAGUCUUCGGAAAGGAUUUGGUUUAGUUUAGUGGCGGACGGGUGAGUAACGCGUGGGUAACCUGCCCUAUACAGGGGGAUAACAGUUGGAAACGACUGUUAAUACCGCAUAAGCGCACAGGAGCGCAUGCUCCGGUGUGAAAAACUCCGGUGGUAUAGGAUGGACCCGCGUCUGAUUAGCUGGUUGGCGGGGUAACGGCCCACCAAGGCGACGAUCAGUAGCCGGCCUGAGAGGGUGAACGGCCACAUUGGGACUGAGACACGGCCCAAACUCCUACGGGAGGCAGCAGUGGGGAAUAUUGCACAAUGGGGGAAACCCUGAUGCAGCGACGCCGCGUGAGCGAAGAAGUAUCUCGGUAUGUAAAGCUCUAUCAGCAGGGAAGAAAAUGACGGUACCUGACUAAGAAGCCCCGGCUAACUACGUG